rnacentral:rRNA from 1 species
GACGAACGCUGGCGGCGUGCUUAACACAUGCAAGUCGAACGGAAAGGCACUGCUUUCGUGGGGGGUCAGAGUGGCGAACGGGUGAGUAACACGUGAGUAAUCUGCCCUUGACUUUGGGAUAACCUCAGGAAACCGGGGCUAAUACCGGAUAGGAGGCCCCGCUGCAUGGAGGGGGUUGGAAAGUUUCGGCGGUUGGGGAUGGACUCGCGGCUUAUCAGCUUGUUGGUGGGGUAGUGGCUUACCAAGGCUUUGACGGGUAGCCGGCCUGAGAGGGUGACCGGCCACAUUGGGACUGAGAUACGGCCCAGACUCCUACGGGAGGCAGCAGUGGGGAAUAUUGCACAAUGGGCGGAAGCCUGAUGCAGCAACGCCGCGUGCGGGAUGACGGCCUUCGGGUUGUAAACCGCUUUCGCCUGUGACGAAGCGUGAGUGACGGUAAUGGGUAAAAAAGCACCGGCUAACUACGUG